CCCUCGCCUCAGGCGCCGCUUCCGCCGGAAGAACGCGCGGCGACCAAUCAGCGCUCGCAGAGCCUCGCUAAAUCCCGCCCUCCCGGCUGUGGAUUGCGGUUGGGCUCGCCUCCUGCCUCGCGCUGUGCUGACAGCUUCGCUAGCCAAUCAGAGAGCGAGAUGAAGGCUAACCCCGCCCUCCCUGCUUGUCCUGUUAGCCAAUCAUGGGCUGGCUAAGCAACAGAGAGGCGCGCCCACCGCGUGCCCGGCGGCGACCAAUCACAGCCGCAGCUCCCGCUGGGGGGCGUGCCCCGCCCACCACCACCCUCUUACCCAAUCACGCCCGGGGGCAGAGCGGAUUGGCGUGCGCGCGAGCCAAUAGGGAACGAGAGGAGGCGGGGCAGACACGCUUUAUUGAUAUAGGGGAGACCGGGCCAUGACCCCAUUGGGGGGGGGGGGGGGGGACAUUUUGGGGUCCCCCUGCUCUGGGGGUCCCCAGCGGGGGUCCCCGCUUUUUGGGGUGCCCCCAUGGUGUCCGUACCCCCAGGGGAACCCCACUUUGGGGGGUCCCCGCUCUGGGGAUACCCCCCAGGGGGCCCCAUUUUGGGGGGUCCCCUUAUUGGGGUGCCCUAAUUUUGGGGUGUCACCCCCGGGGACCCCUUUUUGGGGUGACCCCGGUGCCCCUGGAUCCCCAGGGGGUUCCCUCGAGUGUGUCCGUACCCCUUGGGGUCUCCCAUUUUUGGGGUGUCCCCAUUUUGGGGUGUCCCCUUUUUGGGGUGUCCCCAGUCUAUGCAUACCCCCAAGAGGGGUCCCCAAUUUUUGGGGUGCCCCUACUGUGUCUGUACCCCCCGGGGGACCCCAUUUUAGGGUCCCCUUUGUGCGUGUACCCCCAUGGGGACCCCAUUUUAGGGUGUCCCCUGUCCCUUUAUACCCCCAGGAGGCCCCAUUUUGGGGUCCCCAUUCCACCUACACCCCCAAAGGGGGGGUCUCCAAUUUUUGGGGUGUCCCUCGUGGAUUCCUGACACCCCCAUUUUGGGUUUUCCCCAGCCCCUUCAUACCCCAAGGCUCAUCCCCACACUUUUGGGGUUUCCCCAGUCUCUUGGGGAAAAACCCCCAAUUUUUGGGUGGUGAGGUCCCCAAAUUUUCGGGGAAAAGUCCCCACAUUUUUGGGGUAACAUCCCCCAAUUUUCAGGGAGAAGUCCCAAAAUUCUUAGGGAGAAGUCUCCAAAUUUUCAGGGAGAAUCCCCCAAAUUCUCAGGGUGGGGUCCCCAAAUUUUCAGGGAAAAGUCCCCAAAUUUUCAGGGAGAAGCCCCCAGAUUCUCAGGGAGAAGUCCCCAAAUUUUCGAGGGAGAAGCCCCCAAUUUUUUGGGGUGAGGUCCCCAAAUUUUCAGGGAGGGAUCCCCAAAUUUUCUGGGUGGAAUCCCCAAAUUUUCGGGGUGCGAUCCCCAAAUUUUCGAGGGGGGGUCCCCAAUUUUUCAGGGAGAAAUCCCCAGAUUUUCAGGGAGAAGCCCCCACAUUUUCAGGGAAAAGUCCCCAGUUCUUCAGGGAAAAGCCCCCAAAUUUUCAGGGAGAAGCUCCCAAAUUUUCAGUGUGGGACUCCCAAAUUUUCGGGGUGGGAUCCCCAAAUUUUCGGGGAAAAGUCCUCACAUUUUUGGGGAGAAGUCCCCAAAUUUUCAAGGAGAAGUCCCCAAAUUUUCAGGGAAAAAUCCCCAAUUCUUCAGGAAAAAGUCCCCAAAUUUUCAGGGUGAGGUCCCCAAAUUUUCGGGGUGGGAUCCCCAGAUUUUUGGGGUGUCCCCCCCCCGUUUUAGGGCUGCAUGCGCAGGGCCCCGUCCAGCCUCACCACCUCCCCGUUGAUCAUCGGGUUUUCGGCCAGCGCCUGCACCAGGUGGGCGAAUUCCCCCGGGUGCCCCAAACGGGACGGGAAGGGCACCUGCUGCCCCAAAAAGUUCCGAACCCGUUCGGGCAAACCGGCCAGCAACGGGGUGGAGAACAACCCUAAAAGGGACAAAAAAAAGGGGGUGAGUCGGUUACCCUAUACCCUUUUCCACCCUAAAAAUAAAGGGGGUGAAGCGUUUGCCCUAUAACUUUUC
rnacentral:lncRNA from 1 species